GCGCAGCAGGCGAGAAUCCUCCACAAUGCACGAAAGUGUGAUGGGGUUACCCUGAGUGCCAUCCGAUGAGGAUGGCUUUUCACCAGUGUAAGGCGCUGGUGGAAUAAGGGGAGGGCAAGGCUGGUGCCAGGCCGCCGCGGUAAAACCGAGCUCCUCGAGUGGUCGGGAUGAUUAUUGGGGCCUAAAGCGUCCGUAGCCGGUCUGGUAAAGUCCCCGGUUAAAUCCGGCAGCCUAACUGUCGGCCUGCUGGGGGAUACUGCUAGACUUGGGGGUGGGAUAGGCUAAAGGUACUCCCAGGGUAGGGGUGAAAUCCUAUAAUCCCUGGGGGACCACCAGUGGCGAGGGCG
rnacentral:rRNA from 1 species